GGAGACCAUCAUCGUGUCGGUACCAUCCGUAUAAUGGUUCCUAUCAAUCCUAUCAACAGCCUGGUGUGUGCAGUUCCUAUCGAACCAUGCCCCCCACAAUGCAACAUCCUCCUCAAUCGUACCCAGUACCCAGUACCCAGACUCCUUCUAGCUUCUACUAUGGCCCUUCAGGGUCAACUACCAACCUGGCCCCCAGACCAUACGCGCAGCAAACUCUUCCUCCACUGAACUGCCAACUGCCUGUGUAUGCUCCCCCUGACCAUCCCACCCCAGUCUGCGUUCCACCUCCGGCCCCU